UAAGGAAUAUUGCUCAAUGGGAGAAAUCCUGAAGCAGCAACGCCGCGUGGAGGAUGAAGGGUCUAUGACUUGUAAACUCCUGUAAAGAAGGAAAAAAUUCCCAUUUGAUGGGAGAUGAUGGUACUUCUGGAGUAAGCCCCGGCUAACUACGUGCCAGCAGCCGCGGUAAUACGUAGGGGGCAAGCGUUGUCCGGAUUUACUGGGUGUAAAGGGUGCUCAGGCGGAUUUGUAAGUCAGAGGUGAAAUCUUACAGCUUAACUGUGAAACUGCCUUUGAUACUGCAAGCCUAGAGUAUGGAAGAGAGUGAUGGAAUAUCUGGUGUAGCAGUGAAAUGCGUAGAUAUCAGAUAGAACACCAAUGGCGAAGGCAGUCACUUGGUCCAUUACUGACGCUAAAGCACGGAAGCGUGGGUAGCAAACA
rnacentral:rRNA from 1 species